UUGCGGGGGGGGACCUGAACAUAGUCCCACAUCGGCUAGUAGCGGAAAGGUUCUGUGCCGUAAAAGGGGGGUGGAAAUCCUUUCCUCUUGAGGCGCCUUUUGAAGGGCAAAACCGUGAGGGCAUUGGUCUCCCCCCGUCAGCGCUGGACGCGCGGGCCGGAGCGCCCAAAGCGGACAAUACCUCGGGAGGAACGCAGUUCUCUUUCUCUGCUAGCUUAAUGUGGGCUAUGCUGUUGUGUGAGGCUUCGGCCAAAG
rnacentral:lncRNA from 1 species